rnacentral:lncRNA from 1 species
UUACUUUUUUCAUUUUUCAUUCCAGUGUUUUGAGGUACUCCACUGUCUGUUUCCAUUUCUGACUCUGAUUUUAUUUGGGAUAUUGUUUUUUUUAAAGAAGCCAUGCUAGCUUUUUGUAGCGCUAAAUACUCUUUUUUCAAAUCCAUCCAUUCGCUCCUACAAGGAAAGAAAUGGUGAUAACAGAUGACUAAAUAUAAAAAGUAAAUAGGGAAAUAUCUAAAUAUAUACAUUCACAAUGACUUGGAGCAACUCCUCCACCAACUUUCCUGUUUCUUUAAACACAUAUUCAAAAUAUUUCCUAGGUUCUAAAGACAUUUAGCAAAAUAAGCUAAGGGAGUUCCUCUUCCCCCAAUAUUCAGAUUAAAUGUUUUAAGAUUGCCAAUUAAAUUUUUGAGUGUCUGAAGUAUUUUAAUUUAUAAAAGUAAAAUUUUAGCAUUAAUUCCUUAACUAGUAACAUUUACUAAAUCAGUCAUCUCUGUGGGAAAAGGGCGAGAUUAAAGAUUUGUUAAACUGCUUCCAAUUUGAGAGAUAACAUUCCUUAGUAUUUACUUGAAUCAAAAAGAAUUUCUAAGUAGAACAAAACACCCCGUGGAAGCAAUCUAUUUAUUUACAUACAUUUAACAUGUAGAUGCUUCUUCAAACAGAGUUCCUCCAGAUAGAAACACAAUGCCUUUCUCGGCUCAGUGGGAGCACUCAUUGUUACCCUAAUCUAUGCCAUCAAACAAGCAGAUAGGAGAUUUUCUUUUUCUUUUUCUUUUUUUUUUUUAAGAGGAAGAUAUCUUGUGGUAAUGGUUUUAGCUGUUAACAUUGACAUCUGUAUACUUCAAAAAAAAAAAAAAGGAUCCAGACCCACCCAGGAUCAUACAUUCCCUGAGAGCUGAUACAUUAAAAUAACAAAAGGCCCUUGUAAUGAUUCUCUGAGAUAAAAAGGCAAAAGGAAUUCAAGAGUUAAGAAUAGUAUAAAUAGAAGUGGCUGAAGUCCCUGCCUUUUACCCUUCUGGAGGAGAACACGAAUCUUUGGGAACUAGUUCAGGAAGGAUCUGGACUUACCUCAAUUGCUUUUGCUGCUUGUUCUUUUGUUUCAAAUUCCACAAACGCAAAUCCCUUUGGAUCUCCAGUAGACUUAUAAUGUGGUAUACUUAUAUAAACAACAUUGCCACAUUUCCCAAAUACUCUUUCAAUCCAGCUGUGAUUAACAUUUUUGGGAAGUAACUCCUAUUAUAAAUUAAAAGCAAUAUUAGAGUUUUUCACAAUCAGAAUGUCAAUAAAUUUUUAACUUAAUUAUAUUGUUUCUGUGCCAGUUUCUGACUGGGGACCCGGGUUCUUAAGCUUACCACAUACACUGUGCGUUCAUCCUCAUCCUUUGGUCUUUCCCCCAGAGGUUUUUUCCUCCGGAUUCUGGUGCCUUCCAAAUCAAGCUUUAAAAUAGUAUAUUACAUUAAUAAAACUAAUAUUAUUUAUAAUUGUAAGCUAUAAUCAUAUAAUAAUCAUUACGUUAACAUUCUUUAUAAUUAUAAACUAUAAAUAUAAACAGUAGUUAUUCUUGAUUCUUACCUCUACAACAGCUGAACUUCUCAAUGCUCUGGCAAUUAACUUCCCAUCAGUAGUCAAUUUUUUCAUUUUGUUAAAAGACACAAGUAGUGAUAUAUCAACAUCUAAAGAAAAUGAAAAAGUUAAUAUGUUAGU